rnacentral:rRNA from 1 species
UACGAAGGGGGCUAGCGUUGUUCGGAAUUACUGGGCGUAAAGGGCGCGUAGGCGGCGUGUCAAGUCAGGCGUGAAAGCCCCGGGCUCAACCUGGGAACCGCGCUUGAGACUGGCAUGCUCGAGUUCGGGAGAGGAUGGUGGAAUUCCCAGUGUAGAGGUGAAAUUCGUAGAUAUUGGGAAGAACACCGGUGGCGAAGGCGGCUAUCUGGACCGUAACUGACGCUGAGGCGCGAAAGCGUGGGGAGCAAACAGG